rnacentral:rRNA from 1 species
AUUGAACGCUGGCGGCAUGCUUUAUACAUGCAAGUCGAACGGUAACAGGCCUUCGGGUGCUGACGAGUGGCGAACGGGUGAGUAAUGCAUCGGAACGUGCCCAGAGGUGGGGGAUAACGCAGCGAAAGCUGUGCUAAUACCGCAUGUGAUCUGAGGAUGAAAGCGGGGGACCAGGCAGCAAUGUUUGGCCUCGCGCCUUUGGAGCGGCCGAUGUCAGAUUAGGUAGUUGGUGGGGUAAAGGCCUACCAAGCCGACGAUCUGUAGCUGGUCUGAGAGGACGACCAGCCACACUGGGACUGAGACACGGCCCAGACUCCUACGGGAGGCAGCAGUGGGGAAUUUUGGACAAUGGGCGCAAGCCUGAUCCAGCAAUGCCGCGUGCGGGAAGAAGGCCUUCGGGUUGUAAACCGCUUUUGUACGGAACGAAAAGGCUCUGGCUAAUACCUGGGGCUGAUGACGGUACCGUAAGAAUAAGCACCGGCUAACUACGUG